ACACUCCUGCGGGAGGCAGCAGUGGGGAAUUUUGGACAAUGGGCGAAAGCCUGAUCCAGCAAUGCCGCGUGAGUGAAGAAGGCCUUCGGGUUGUAAAGCUCUUUUGUCAGGGAAGAAACGGUGAGAGCUAAUAUCUUUUGCUAAUGACGGUACCUGAAGAAUAAGCACCGGCUAACUACGUGCCAGCAGCCGCGGUAAUACGUAGGGUGCAAGCGUUAAUCGGAAUUACUGGGCGUAAAGCGUGCGCAGGCGGUUUUGUAAGUCUGAUGUGAAAUCCCCGGGCUCAACCUGGGAAUUGCAUUGGAGACUACAAGGCUAGAAUCUGGCAGAGGGGGGUAGAAUUCCACGUGUAGCAGUGAAAUGCGUAGAUAUGUGGAGGAACACCGAUGGCGAAGGCAGCCCCCUGGGUCAAGAUUGACGCUCAUGCACGAAAGCGUGGGGAGCAAACAGGAUUAGAUACCCGAGUAGUCCCAU
rnacentral:rRNA from 1 species